rnacentral:rRNA from 1 species
GGUCAAGCUACAAAGGGCAGAU